UGGGGAAUUUUCCGCAAUGGGCGAAAGCCUGACGGAGCAAGACCGCGUGAGGGAGGAAGGCUCUUGGGUUGUAAACCUCUUUUAACUGGGAAGAAAACUGACGGUACCAGAAGAAUCAGCAUCGGCUAACUCCGUGCCAGCAGCCGCGGUAAUACGGAGGAUGCAAGCGUUAUCCGGAAUCAUUGGGCGUAAAGCGUCCGCAGGUGGUGGAGCAAGUCGGCUGUCAAAGGUCACAGCUUAACUGUGAACAGGCGGUGGAAACUGCUCAACUAGAGUGCGGUAGGGGUAGAGGGAAUUCCCGGUGUAGCGGUGAAAUGCGUAGAGAUCGGGAAGAACACCAGUGGCGAAAGCGCUCUACUGGGCCUGCACUGACACUGAGGGACGAAAGCUAGGGGAGCGAAUG
rnacentral:rRNA from 1 species